rnacentral:rRNA from 1 species
CCUACGGGCGGCAGCAGUGGGGAAUAUUGGACAAUGGGCGAAAGCCUGAUCCAGCCAUGCCGCGUGUGUGAAGAAGGCCUUCGGGUUGUAAAGCACUUUCAGUGGGGAAGAAAGCCUUGGGGCUAAUACCCUCGAGGAAGGACAUCACCCACAGAAGAAGCACCGGCUAACUCCGUGCCAGCAGCCGCGGUAAUACGGAGGGUGCGAGCGUUAAUCGGAAUUACUGGGCGUAAAGCGCGCGUAGGCGGUCUGAUAAGCCGGUUGUGAAAGCCCCGGGCUCAACCUGGGAACGGCAUCCGGAACUGUCAGGCUAGAGUGCAGGAGAGGGAGGUAGAAUUCCCGGUGUAGCGGUGAAAUGCGUAGAGAUCGGGAGGAAUACCAGUGGCGAAGGCGGCCUUCUGGACUGACACUGACGCUGAGGUGCGAAAGCGUGGGUAGCAAACAGGAUUAGAUACCCUUGUAGUC